GACAGAGGGUGCAAACGUUGUUCGGAAUUACUGGGCGUAAAGCGCGCGUAGGCUGCUCUGCAAGUCGGAUGUGAAAGCCCUGGGCUCAACCUAGGAAGUGCACUCGAAACUGCAGAGCUUGAGUCCUGGAGAGGAAGGCGGAAUUCUCGGUGUAGAGGUGAAAUUCGUAGAUAUCGAGAGGAACACCGGUGGCGAAGGCGGCCUUCUGGACAGUGACUGACGCUGAGACGCGAAAGCGUGGGGAGCAAACAGG
rnacentral:rRNA from 1 species